rnacentral:rRNA from 1 species
UACGUAGGGGGCAAGCGUUGUCCGGAAUCAUUGGGCGUAAAGAGCGUGUAGGCGGCCAGGUAGGUCUGCUGUGAAAACUCGAGGCUUAACCUCGAGCUGUCGGCGGAAACCAUCUGGCUAGAGUCCGGAAGAGGAGAGUGGAAUUCCGGGUGUAGUGGUGGAAUGCGUAGAGAUCCGGAGGAACACCAGCGGCGAAGGCGGCAUCCUGGCCCUGACCUGACGCUGAGGCGCGAGAGCGUGGGGAGCAAACUGG